CAAUAGCGUAUAUUUAAGUUGUUGCAGUUAAAAAGCUCGUAGUUGGAUUUCGGUUAAGAGCGACCGGUCCGCCGUUUGGUGUGCACUGGUUGGUUUUAACUUCCUGUAGAGGACGUGCGCUGGGUUUAACGACCUGGACUCGGAGUCUACGUGGUUACUUUGAAAAAAUUAGAGUGUUCAAAGCGGGCUUACGCUUGAAUAUUUCAGCAUGGAAUAACACUAUAGGACUCCUGUCCUAUUUCGUUGGUCUCGGGACGGGAGUAAUGAUUAAGAGGAACAGUUGGGGGCAUUCGUAUUUCAUUGUCAGAGGUGAAAUUCUUGGAUUUAUGAAAGACGAACUUCUGCGAAAGCAUUUGCCAAGGAUGUUUUCAUUAA
rnacentral:rRNA from 1 species